UGGUCCUUACAAGCACAGAAAAAUGGAUCUGUGGCAGUCAUGGUUCCUGGACUUCUAGAAAUGACUAUAUUCCAGGAGAUGCAGAAAUGCUACUGAACAUGGAUGUGCAGCACCACAGAAAACCUAUGUGGGAUCCUGAUCACCAGUGGAAGCCCGGCUCCUUAGAGAGCUAAGAUGGAACAAAGAAAAUUCCCAGGCCCGGGAACCACCAGAGGUACUACCUUAUUUGCU
rnacentral:lncRNA from 1 species